CUGUACGUUUAUUAUAUUCGUUUAAGACUGUAUAACAUAAAGACUAUCUAUCUGAUAUGUCCUUGAAAUGAAAACCUUUGGUCUUUCAUUUACCUGAAAUUGUGCUUUCUUCUUUAUAGGUACCCCAUGUAGCGUAAACUAAACUCCCAAAUUCAUAUGUCUCUUAGCUAUAUUAUUUAAUUUACAUAGGUAACAGUGACGUUGCUUCUACUGUCAUAAGUGAAAGUGAGGUGGAAGGAGUAGAAGCAAAACAGUUCUUGGAAGAUGUCCGUGAUUCAUUUCCUCAGGUUUUGAGUGUUUUGAAAACAAGACAAGUAACAUAUUAUGUGCUGAAUCAUCUAAAUGGAUAUAUCAAGAACCUCGAGAAGGUUGGGCUGUUAGAGGGAAAAGAAGUUUCUCAUCUUCAUGAUGUUGUUCAGUCUGACUUGAAGAAGCUCCUGAGAAAUCCUCCUUUACUAAAACUUCCAAAUAUAGAAGGUUUUCUCGCCAGCAAUCCGUUAUUGAAAGAUCGCUCAAUCUUCAGGAGUUUGGCCACGGGCGAGACACAUUCAUGAAUAAGACUUUGUAGGUUUUCUUGUCAGAAGCAAAUCAAGGAGUAGACUCAGGUUUCAGGAAGAGUCAGGAACUCGUUAAUGUUCUUUCUUCGCACCCACCUGGAUAGUACCAGGACCCGUGUGCCCCGGCCCUUGGUCAGAUACCCGAAUUACUCUUCUUUUUGUAUUACCAAAUGCGUCCUGCUUUUUUGUUCACAAAUCCACACUCUUUGGUUGAAGUUCACAAUCCAUAUACGCUGGCAUAAAAGUUUAAUUAUAACGCAUAUAUUUAAAUAUUAACGCUUAUAAAAAAGCACAAAGUA